AAUCCGUCGAGCUAAGCUGAGGUGUGAUGGGGAGCCAUUUAUGGCGAAGUAUCUGAUUCCACACUGCCAAGAAAGCCUCUAUCGAGUGAAUAGGUGCCCGUACCGCAAACCGACACAGGUAGGUGAGGAGAGAAUCCUAAGGCCAUCGGAAGAAUUGCUGUUAAGGAACUCGGCAAAUUGACCCCGUAACUUCGGGAGAAGGGGUGCCUACGAAGUAGGCCGCAGAGAAUAGGCCCAAGCAACUGUUUAGCAAAAACACAGGUCUCUGCUAAAGCGAAGCUGAUGUAUAGGGGCUGACGCCUGCCCGGUGCUGGAAGGUUAAGGGGAACACUUAGCGCAAGCGAAGGUGUGAACUUAAGCCCCAGUAAACGGCGGCCGUAACUAUAACGGUCCUAAGGUAGCGAAAUUCCUUGUCGGGUAAGUUCCGACCCGCACGAAUGGCGUAAUGAUUUGGGCACUGUCUCAACAGCAAAUCCGGCGAAAUUGUAGUGCAAGUGAAGAUGCUUGCUACCCGCGAUUGGACGGAAAGACCCCGUAGAGCUUUACUGUAGCUUAGCAUUGAAUCUCGGUAUUGUCUGUACAGGAUAGGUGGGAGACUUGGAAACUUG
rnacentral:rRNA from 1 species